UACGUAGGGUGCGAGCGUUGUCCGGAUUUAUUGGGCGUAAAGAGCUCGUAGGCGGUUUGGCAAGUCGGGUGUGAAAUUUCGAGGCUCAACCUCGAAACGCCACUCGAUACUGCCAUGACUGGAGUCCGGUAGAGGAGUGCGGAAUUCCUGGUGUAGCGGUGAAAUGCGCAGAUAUCAGGAGGAACACCAACGGCGAAGGCAGCACUCUGGGCCGGUACUGACGCUGAGGAGCGAAAGCGUGGGGAGCAAACAGG
rnacentral:rRNA from 1 species